GUUUAAAUGUAUUAUUUUUUUAAGGUGUCAAGCAACAAGAUGCUGGAAUGCUACUGGAAUUCUUAGGAAUUGUCUUCCUUUCUUCUCCCUCUCCUCCUCAUCCUCUUCUCUCUUUUCUAAACGUUAAACAGAUUUGCAGGCCUACAGUGCUACAGUGGUUUCAUGUAGCAAAGAUUGACUACCGCCUUCAGUGACCGCUGUAUUAAAGCAGCUUAAUACACACAUACGACAAACAAUUUCUCUCUAGCAAAGUAUUGUCAUCAGCAUGUCUAGGGAGGGGGGCACAGCACGUAUAGCCUUUCUGCUCUAAUCUUAAAAUGUUGCUAAAUUUAAAACUUUAAAAUGCAGCAUUACUUCAACUGUAAAUCAAUGCAUUGACUAAUGUAAUUUCCUUUGGGAUCUUGUUGGUAUGCUUGUUUCAGAAUGACGACAUAAUCUUCAAGUGCGAAUGUGUCCUGAUGAGCCGAAGUGUCUACCUCAAUGAAAACAUGGAGCGAGUCGUCAAAGAAUACGUGGCCAGCAAAAGUGCAGGGGCUGAAUUAGGGAUUGCACAGAAAACAAUGGGCAUCUAUGUUCUUCGGGUGGAGGGAGCCAGUCCUAGAGACGAGCCUGCAGAUGUUGGUGUUGUACUUGAAGGCAUGGAUAUUCUGCACGUUUGGAUGUGUGAUGCGUUUUGGGUCUGGUUUAUGUGCUGAGCUUAAGCUACCCCAAAGACUUUUUGUGGCAAAAAUGUAACUGUUUGAAAACGAAACACUCUCUUAACCUUAAUGUGCAUGUACAAAUGAGGGUAUUUUUUGAAUUUAUUUUGUUUUAUUUAUUUUUUUUCAGAACACAGCACUUGUACAACACAUGUAUGAGCACUGGUUCAAGUUUGUCUAAGCAGCUCAUGUGGGUGUGUGCUGCUAUUGAAUGGAGGUGAUGAUGUUGCCUUGAGUUUUUGUGAUGCCUAAACUUGCCACAUGCCUUGAAGCAUGAAUAAACCGUUAAUGUGAGAAAUUAUUGCCUUGGUGUUAUUUUUUUAUCUAUUGGCUGGAACGAAAUCAUAAAAUGUGAUAUAUCUGGUUUUAUUGGAUUUAUUAAUAAAAUACAUACAUUUGAUGCAUUUUAAGUAAAUUGGGUUUAUUGCAUAAAGCUGUUUUUUAAGCAUUUUAAAUGUAUUGGAUUAAUUGAUUAUACAUAAACCUGGAUGUUAUGAAUUUCAAACAAAUUGGAUUUACUAAUAAAUGUAUACACCUGGUUGUUGACUAUUUGAAAUACAUUGGGUUUAUUAGCAUUAUUAUUAUAUGUCAUUCUUACUUGUUUCAUUUAUGUUUGACUGACUUAGAUUAGUUUGUUAGUUUGCUUAUAUUGAAACUAUGUAAUUCAAAUGGAUGGAAAUUUUAUAUGCAAUAAGUAUGGCAUAUUAGGCCUAAAUAUUUUUCUGAGUGUAUGAAUCUUGGACUAUUUAUGGAAAAUAAGCUUUUUAUUCCACAUCAAAGUUGGGUGAACUAUCCUUAAUCUUGUCCUGUGUUAAGGAUUCUGACACAGGACUACUCGAACAGUACACAUAUUAAAUAUACCUCAUAGUAUGCAUGUAGGUAGUCUAGGAAGUACUGAGUCCAGCAGUAUGAAUCUUGAACUACUUUCUUUUUCUCACGUCGUCCUUUACUUUGAAAUCCGGACGCAUACCUUCGUGAACCCUUCAGUUUAUUACUGGGAAUAAUUACUGUAAAAGUCUCAUAUGUUUCACGGCUGUGAUGUGAGACUGCAGUCUGACCACAGUCACUGCCAGCAGCUCUUCAUCACGAUUACCGUAAAUAUUAGUAAAUUCGUGCGCUAGAACACAAUAUGCGGCUGAUUUGACCAAGCUAACACGAACCACGGCUGGCUUGACAGCAGUUAUGGCUCUGAGUGACUAUUCAUAAUUAAUAAAGUGUGAAUAUAGCAGCAUGGAAGCAGCUACUUAGCCAGCCAUGCUGCUGCUGCCCCUUCAUCAAGCAGGCAACCAGUGGCAGCACUUGGGUUUGUCUUCCUCUGUUUAGUAUAACAGCGUCGAUCAAUGUUGCAUUAGCGCCAUCUACUGGACAGUCUAGGUCCAGUUACAAAGUGGAGGGGUCAGAUCACUUAAUGCAGAGGGGUCACCCAAAAUAAAUGGACAAGGGGUGAACGGAAUAUUCUGGACGAUCAUUUUCUCUACGAUUGCAUGUAGGGAAGUCCAAAAUGCCUGAAUUUUUGGGCAACACCAGAGCAUGUGUACAAGGGUCCCAUAUUUGUCCCGACACCUCCAGCAUUCUGAGUUGUCAAUCAAACCAGCCUUGUGCAGCCUGGAUGUGUCCAAUAGAUUAUGUUCAUUAUUUUGAAUUGGCUAAGUCGCAUUCGCAGUUCCCUUUUUUCCCAUUUUUUUUCCUCAAAAGAUUUUAAUGUCCCUUCAUGGUACAAGGCCUCUUUCUGAGGACAAAGACCGCUGUGCCAUAUGCCUAAUGGUGAAUGCAUAAUGGUAAAACAGCAAGUUGGGCACACCUAAGCCUCCUCUGUCCACUGGCCUCUGCAGCUUUCACAGAUUCAUCCUGGGGCUUUUGUUAUUCCAUAAAAAUGUAUUACAAAGUUGAUCAAAUUGUUUGAAACAGUGCAAAUGAAUUUGGACUGAGAGAGCCUGUAGCAAGUCCUUGAAUUUUGGAGCACAAAUCAUUUUAAUGAUAGAGAGAUACAAAGGAGACCACCGUUAUAGGCCUAUAUCAGCCCGCAGUUUGUUGUUAAACCGAGAUAUUUAAUGCCUUUCUUAAGCCAGGCAAAAGUGCCUGACUGGAAGAGGGAUUUGGGACAAUAUGGUGUGAGAGGAAGAGCCUCAGAUUUUGUCCCAUUGAAUUUAUAACCCAUAAUGUAUGAGAACUUGUCAAUAAUUUGAAUGCAUCCACAGGUGUUGCUUUGGUGUCUUUGCCUGUGUUGCUUGAGUGAACUUGUUGUACGUUUGUUUUUAAUGUGCUGUAUCAAAUGUGUAAUGUUGGGGUUAAAUGCUGCUCUUUUGUUACCCCAGACAGCAAGCCAACAUUGAAUAAAUAUUGAUUUUCCAUCUGAA